CAUAUAAAUAAUGGAACAGGUGCCCGUCCGGGCUUAAUAGGGAAGACUGGUGCAAAACCAGCACGGUCCCGCCGCUGUGAUGGGGAGCAAAGCUGCAAUAAGCCACUGGGGAUAGUCUCCCUGGGAAGGCGCAGAUGCGCGAUGAUCCUAAGUCAGAAGAACUGCCUGUUCAACGAUCACCGC
rnacentral:ncRNA from 2 species